GGCACAGUAGGGAAUUUCCCAAUGGCGAAAGUCUGACGGAGCAACGCCGCGUGAGUGAUGAAGGUUUUCGGAUCGUAAAGCUCUGUUGUUAGGGAAGAACAAGUGCCGUUCAAAUAGGGCGGCACCUUGACGGUACCUAACCAGAAAGCCACGGCUAACUACGUGCCAGCAGCCGCGGUAAUACGUAGGUGGCAAGCGUUGUCCGGAAUUAUUGGGCGUAAAGGGCUCGCAGGCGGUUUCUUAAGUCUGAUGUGAAAGCCCCCGGCUCAACCGGGGAGGGUCAUUGGAAACUGGGGAACUUGAGUGCAGAAGAGGAGAGUGGAAUUCCACGUGUAGCGGUGAAAUGCGUAGAGAUGUGGAGGAACACCAGUGGCGAAGGCGACUCUCUGGUCUGUAACUGACGCUGAGGAGCGAAAGCGUGGGGAGCGAACAGGAUUAGAUACCC
rnacentral:rRNA from 1 species